rnacentral:rRNA from 1 species
UAUUAAUUAGAUUAUUUUUUUUGUUAUUAUUUAAAUUAUAUUAAUAAGUUAUUUUAUUGUUUUUGUAGGGUUUAUAGAUGAAAUAAUUUUGGUUAUGGUAAUUUAGUACUGUGAGGGAGAUUGUUAUAAUAUUAAUAAAAGUUGGUUUGAUUUAUUGUACCUUGUGUCUCAGGUUGAAUUAAUUAUAUUUUAAUUAAUUUAAUUUUCCCAAUUCUGAAAGAGUUAAUUGAUUAUUAUUUAAUUAAUGUGAAAUAAGUAUUUAUAAUAUUCAGUUAGUAGUGAUAUGUUAUUCGUUUUUGGUUAUAUCUGGUUUCUUAAUAGAAAAGUGGAAUUUUGUAUUAAUUGUUUAUAGUGUCUUUUUGGGGAUGGGAUAUUAAAUUAGUGUUUAUAAUAUGAGGGAUGAGCUUUAUAUUAUUACUAGAAGUGGUUUUUUAUUUAUAAAUUUAAUGGAUUUAAUGGUAAUUAAUUAUUAGAGGAUGUUUAAUUUAAAUUUAUUUGGUUUGAUUUGAUUUUGAUUUGGUUUUAGUUUGUUUAUUAAGAUAAUUAUUUUAUUAGUGUUUUUGAUGUAAUUAUGAUUUAAUUAGUAUAUUUUUAUAGAAUAGUUAUAAAAAGUUAUGAUAAGGAAUUAGGCAAAGAUUUAUAUGUAUAUAUUCACCUGUUUAUCAAAAACAUCUUUUUUUGAUUGGAUUUGAAAUAUAACCUGCCCACUGAAUUAAUAUUUUGAAGGGCCGCGGUAUUUUGACCGUGCAAAGGUAGCAUAAUAAUUUGUCUUUUAAUUGGGGGCUGGAAUGAAUGGUUUGAUGAAAUAUAAUCUGUCUUGAUAUAAGUGAUAUUAGAAUUUAAUUAUUAUGUGAAAAAGCGUAAAUGUAUUUAUGGGACGAGAAGACCCUUUAGAAUUUAAUAAUUUAAUGUAAAUUGUAUAUGGUGUAUUAAUGGUAUAAGUUAAAUUAUUUUGUUGGGGUGAUGGAAAAAUAUUAAUAACUUUUUUUGUUGUUUAAUAUUUAUGUAUAGUUGUGAGAUCCUUGUUUGUGAGUAUAAGAUUAAAUUACCUUAGGGAUAACAGCGUAAUAUUUAUUGAGAGUUCAAAUUGACAUAAAAGGUUGCGACCUCGAUGUUGGAUUAAGAUUUAUUUUGGGUGUAGAAGCUUGAGAAUAUUAGGUCUGUUCGACCUUUAAAAUCUUACAUGAUCUGAGUUCAAAUCGGCGUGAGCCAGGUUGGUUUCUAUCUAUAGUAAUGUGUAAUAUUUUAGUACGAGAGGACCAAAUAUUGAAAAUAAUUUUG